rnacentral:rRNA from 1 species
AUUGAACGCUGGCGGCAGGCCUAACACAUGCAAGUCGAACGAGUGGCGGACGGGUGAGUAAUGUCUGGGAAACUGCCUGAUGGAGGGGGAUAACUACUGGAAACGGUAGCUAAUACCGCAUACCAUCGGAUGUGCACAGAUGGGAUUAGCUAGUAGGUGGGGUAACGCCUCACCUAGGCGACGAUCCCUAGCUGGUCUGAGAGGAUGACCAGCAACACUGGAACUGAGACAUGGUCCAGACUCCUACGGGAGGAAGCAGUGGGGAUUAUUGCACAAUGGGCGAAAGCCUGAUGCAGCCAUGCCGCGUGUAUGAAGAGGGCCUUCGGGUGGUAAAGUACUUUCAGCGGGGAGGCGUUACCCGCAGAAGAAGCGCCGGCUAACUCCGUGCCAGCAGCCGCGGUAAUUC